GGUUUGUAGCUUAGUGGUAGAGCACUUGCUUAGCAUGUGUGAGGCACUGGGUUCAAUCCUCAGCACCA
rnacentral:tRNA from 1 species